CAAGGAAAUUCUCCAGAGCAUAUUCAAGGAACUCUUUCCUCAAUGUAAAGAGAAGCUGUCAGUGAUGUAGGUGCACCAGUGGAAGUGGGUGCUGGAGUUACCCCCACAGGCUCCUCCACAGCCUGUCCAGGAACUGUGAUCGUGAUGGAACAGUUCAUCAAAACUACCAACCACCUCUGCAACCUGAUUGUCAUUCUCCCUUGAAGCUCACUCAUAAGAAGAGGUCCAAUACCAGAAGACACAAACAAAGAAGACCAAAGGCUUCCACUCAUGGCCGGUGCACCAUUACUAAAGAAAAAAAAUGUCAUU